CCUGCAGUGUUCACCUAAUCUAAUUUUUAAACAUCUAGUGGUCAUACCAACAUAUUGGAAGCCACACGGGCAUUCCAAUAGGUAGAUGACAUUCUUGGUAUUACAUGUAAUAAAUUAUUUUAUUUUAAAAGUAGUUUUGGUUUUAUUUGAAGUAAAUUCUGUUAUUUUAGGUGGCAUUGUAGGAUCAGCUGUUUUACACACAAUACAGUUCUUGCACUUAUAAAAGCCUAGAGAUUGGGGAAAAAAAGAUACAAG